CCCCAGCAACACCAGGCACAGCCUUAGCUUUUCUCUUUGCUGCUUCUGUCCAUGGGUGAAGAAAAGCCAUGUUUUCCCUCCUCGGCAAGGCUUGGCUCCUGGUUUUUCUCCCUAUCCUGUUCCUUUCAGCUCUGGCGUCUCCAUGCUGACCACGUUGACCGUCACCAGCCAGCACCCCCUCCCCUAGGUUUCAGCGUGUGAGAGCCUGGGGGCUGGAGAGCUGGGCUGAGGCAGCCAGCACACAACGGCCAACAGCUGACCUCAGCCACUGGCGGCCAGCUAACUGCGUGCUUCUGCUCCAACAACCCACACGACCUGGUUUUACACUAGAAGAUUCUCAAGCUCAGCUCUUAUGCCUGAAAACAGAGACAGUGUGGGGACAGCUUGCGACAAGUCUCAUCUUGUCAGAGUGGAGCUGACGAUGUUGGCAGUGUCCAGUGGCCUCGAAUCUACAGCAUGACUGGAGGCCCUGGGGCCUAACACUGGCAGCUAGGAGCUGUGGUGGAACUGGAGCCCGUGGCAGAGAGAGGAGAGGAGAGGAGCCAGAGUUCUGGGAGCAGAAACACCAGGAAGGAAGAAGAGCGCACGCUGGACCGCACGGCUGCUAGCCAAGAAGGGUUGGGGCAGCCUGGAAGUGGUUCUUGGAACAGGACGAGAAAACAACACCUUGAAAACCCAGUGCUAAGGGUAAAGAUUCUGUGGCUUUUCCUGCUGCUGUUGUUCUGUUUCUCCUCCUCCUUUUUCUUCUUCCUCCACAACCUCCUCCCUGCCCUCCCCUCUCUUUCUCCUCCUCCUUCAUACUCGGGAUUGAACCGGGCUCUAUCACUGAGAUAUGUAGCUCCAGCCCAUUUUUAAAAAAAUUUAUUUUAAGUCAAGGUCUCACUAAGUUGCCCAGGCUGGGCUCAACUCCUCCUGCCGUAGCCUCCCAGUAGCUGGAUCUGGGCUGCUUCUUCUUUGCUCACUUUCUCAGAUGCCUCAAUCAUAAAGGAUUUCUGGUUUCUUUUGUCUUUUCUUUUCCUUCAACACUCAAUCUCAUGCCACUGAGGCUGAAAAUCCUCAAACUCCUUGCCCUGCAUGGGGCUGACUGGAGCUGGGCUGGCUGUGCCUAUCAGAUUUUCUGGGAGUCAAAAUUGCAGUAACAGCCCUACCAUGUACCAGAAGCCCUCUGCCACUGUCCGCUUCUUGAGCCUUAGCAGUGGAAACACAGGUACUGGUUCUCUGGAAAGCAAGAGGGUGCUCUCCUUGGACCUGUCCCCCUGCUGAGAGUACCCAGCAGCCUCUGCCAGGCUCAGUGCACAGUGCCCCUUCACUGCCUGGCAGAGCAUGAAUUGUAAACAUGUCAUUAGAUUCAAAGGCUGCCGAGAUGGUGAUGGAAGAGAGCUGGCCCUGAAGACAAGAGGAGUUUGCUGGAAAUGAGCUGCUGAAUAAUUUAUCAUGAAUUGAAAAGUCAAGGCCUUAAGUGAGGCAUGGUGAAACCAGAGGACUCAGAGGUAAACACGGCGAGGAUAUAAGUUUUGAGAGAACAUUAUCAAGAGGAACGACUAGCUGGAAGGAAGAGGAGGCAGAAAGCCCCCAGUUGAGGGUGGGCUGAGUUGGACGGGGGCUGCGGGUGGGGACAGAGCCCAGAAGAGGCAGCAGAGCAGACCUUGCCUUUGAGGCCCUGUGUCUCGGCCGAAGGUAAGGAGAAGCUUGGAAAGAGAUGGUGAAUUGUUAGGAACAAAAUGAGGGUUGCUGAGUAGGAGUCAUGAGAAAACCAGACCAGUGAGUCCAGGAAGGCUUCCUGGAGGAGGCUGGAACCAGGCCUGGAAGGGGAAUUUCAUCAGAUGAGCUGUGAAGGUGCAGUGGGAGAGAAGCUGAAGAAACUGGUGUUAGGCGCAGGCUGAAGAACACCAUGUGGAAGCAGGGGGAGCCCCUGCAGAUUCUUUGACAGGAACUUGACAUUCGUUCAUUCACUCAUUCGUUCAGCAAAUACUCAUUGUGUCACUGAGUAGCUGUGUUCCACUAGCACUGUGUGCUAGUGCUUCCCACCAGACAGGCAAAGGCCCUGUCUCAUAGGACUCACGUUCCAGUGAGGGAGACAGAAAAAUCAAAGCAGCAAUCACAUUUGUGGUGCCAAGGGUUCUAGGUGCCGUCUCAGUUUCUGUCGUGGCAUUAAGAGGUAGCUGAAAUAAUUAUCUCCGUUCUACAGAUAGAGACGUGGAGUGAUUUGGCCAAGGUGACUCAGCUAGUUGGUGGUGGAGUCCAAGUCCGUCAUGCUACUCUGCGUUAUGAUUGGGAGCUAAAUGCUUGGACGGGGAAGUAUGUGGGGCCACAGGCCAGUGUUGGACAUGGGACUCUGUUCAGCGGGCCAGGGAGGCUUCCUAGAGGAAUCUUUGAGCUGGGGUGGAGACAUGUGGGGUAAGGCUGGGGACUGAUGAGUGGAAGAUCAGAGAGGCCAUUUUCACAGGACAGUGGAGGCCUGUGAAGGAGGACGGACCCUUCCUGUGGGGAUGAGAAGCUACCAAAGGCUCCUAUGGGGGAGAAAGGUGGAAGGUAUUGUGUGUGUGACAGAGUCAAUUCUGCAUUUUUAAAGGAUCACUUCCUCUGCUAUGUGGAGAAUUGAUUGGUAGGAACAAGAUCAAGCUGCUGGAACAGGGUGGAUGUUGAGAGGCAGGAAACAAAUGAACCAAUAAAUGUGUCAGCACCUCGAAUACUUUGUUCCCAGAAGGGUCCCUCAGCCCUUCUCUCAAAGUCUCUCUUUUCAUUUACAUCUGACUCUAAUAAUUCAGCUGUUUGUUUUCCUCAUUCAUACAGGUUAAGAGUAACAAUUUAGGAAAAGAUUGGGGAAUGCAGUGGGUAUUCAAGAGGGAAAAGAACAUUGGCAAUUGUGAAAAGUGACAGCUUGAUUGUAAGGAAAGACACACACAAAAAAACCAUUAUACAUAUUCAGACAAACAAAUGAAUAAACAAACUCGCAUUGUCCAGCAGGAUGGGACUAUUCAGUGGAAAGACAAACAACCCUGCCCCAGUGGCAUCCUCCCCUUCCACGCAAAUAUUUGAUAUCUCAAGUGGUUAACUUGAGUCAAUAACAAUGUGGGACAGCCACUAACCUUUAUUUUUUUAAGCCAGGAAAGGAGAGUGACCCAAUAUUCUCAGCAGCACUUCCAGUUGCUGGCCACAGCUCAAGAUCACGGUGGGAAGCCUGGAGCCUGGUGUUCCUGUCUGUCUCCAAGGACAGCUCCAUGCCUCUGCCUGUGUGACAGUGGCCAUGCUCGGGCUGCUGAAGCAGAGGUGCUAGAGCUUGGUCACAGCCUCUAGCUUGCCAUCAAGGAACCGUGGAAGAACAGGAGUUGAAGCAAGAUGAUCACAGCAGCCAUGGAGACCAUAGGCCUCCUCCAGAAGCGGGGACAAAAUAUUUUCUAGAUGUCUGAAGGCUUUCAGGGAUUUGGGAAGGUCAUGGCUACUAAGCAUUUUCCUUAGAGAUGUAUGGGUAUACGUAAUCACUCAUUAUCUGGACUCUCAGAUACUGCCAGCUUGACUGGCGCAGCCUCUCACUUGGCCUCUUCAUUCUGUCAUUGUGGCUGUGGCCUGAGCCACAGUGUGGGAGUGUGGGAGGCGCUCUCUUCCAUAAGGAUGUAGGUUAGCCCUUCUCUGUCUCGGAUUCAUGUCCUCUGUGCUGUGUGCUCAGACACACAUGCCCUAUCCAUCAUCCCAAAGCUAAGACUCCCAACCUUUCUGGGUUGGUGGUAUAGAACACCAGCCCUAUAUCACACCUGCUUACUUUGAUUACCUUUCCAGGGUAGUUAGAAGUACACCAGGGAGCUGGGCUGAUGGAGACUCCCUGGAAAUUUCUAUUUCCGUAUCUUUUAUUGUUGUUAGUAUAGUAAAGAGACUAAAAAGUGGAGGUUUUCUGUGAUUUUUCACCCCUAGAGGGCUGAAAUUGGAAAACGUAUUGUCUGAAAAGUGAGCAGACCCUUGGGCUUUGAUUCUGUAAGGAUUUAGACUUAUUGCCUCCUUCAACCAUCCUGUAUUAUCUGUUUCCAUGAUUUCCCCUAGAACUUCAGAUUCCAUCUAGAAGACAAGUAGGAAAAAAUCUCCGAUAGAAGAUGGUUGAGUGAUAGGUCUGAGAGGCCAGCUGGGCCCCCAGCCUUUUACACAGUUACGAGGUUUCAUUUGGGAACUGGAAUCCAACUGGAACAGCUGGAGCUGUUGUGUCUCCUGCACAAUUUUUGCUAGCUUGAGUUUUAAGUAUAUUUGUUGUCACUAUGAUAAAUAUAAACUUUUCUCAUUGUUUUCAAAAUGUUUACUAGGGUAUAUUAAAGCAAUUGGCUCUUUGUUUAUUAAUCACAUAUCCAGUAACUUGUUAAAUGACCUCAUUGAUUAUAAUAAAUUGGCACAUAUUUGGAGUUCUUUAUGUAUAUAAUAAUGUCAUCGGAGAAGAUUGUUAGCCAGUUAGUAGUCCAGGUACGAGAUGAAGGAAGAGUCAUGGUGGAAGACAAGGAGAAGGUGGUUAGAUUUGUGACACAGGUAAUUAGUAGUUACAGUCAUAUAGCUGGAUCAUGAAGGGCAUGAGGAGCAAAGGAGAGAGAACUGUCGAGGAUAGCUCCUGAGCUUCUGGUGUGCACAAAUGAAUGGAUGUUGUCACUUACUGAGAUGAGGAACACUGAAAUAGAGCCAGAUUUUGGAGAGGAGGGAGAAGGGGAAGCUCAUGGGUUCAAUUUUUCAUUUUGUUUUAAGAUGCUUUUAAGUUCUAUAAAGAGGAUUGUGAGCGGGCAAUUGGGAAUAGUCAUCUGGAGCUUGGAGGAGAGAGCUGGCUGGAAUCAUAUGUCUAAAGAGAGUAGUUGAUGGCUGAGUAUAGAUGAGAUGGGCUAGGGCUGGAGAGAAGAGAGUAAGAGGAGAGAGAUGUGGAUGGAAUCUUGAGGAGCUACACCAUUUAAUGGCCAGGUGGAAGAGGAUAAGGUGGCCGUGGGGAGGGGGAAGAGGAAGUCUUGCUGAGCAUGGUUGUCUUGGAAGCUAAGAGAACGGGACUUUUUUUUAAGAAAGAAGAGAAAGUUAACCUUCAAAGAAUGUGCAAGUUUGAAGAUGAGGAUUGAGAAAUGUCAUUGGAUUCAACCGUGUUGUGAUAACUGGCAACAUCAGUGCUAUAUUGGAGGUGAUUAUCAUUGUUAAAGAGUGAAGGGAAAGCGAGCAUUUCUUGGUAAUUUAUUGGAAAAUAAAUAAAUCUGUAUUAUUGUAUUUUGGUUUUAGAAUGCAAUAUAACAAAUAAGAAUGUUACCAAGGAUUACAAAAGUAGACUUUAUUAAGGAGCAGUCUUGAAAUUCUGGACCUACUUAUUCAGCAGUUGCUGGAGACCUUGCAAUAAAGCUAGAUGGGAUGGCCAGGCAUUUUCAAUGUCUGUCCAGUUACCUGGGGACAGGGGAUCUUAACCCUACUCUUGAGUGUGUCAGCUCCUUCAUUGUGUUUACAGAUGCCGAUGCACAGUGGACCAUUGUUAAUACCUAGUCACCUUGGAUUUGGGCUCUGAUAGUAAAGUGAUUAUAUUGGCAUCUGUAAAUACAUUCUGCCACAUCCGCCUGUCCAUUGGCACCUGCUGAGGCUAUUUUAUCUGGAAUCAUUCAUUUGAGUACUUUGUACUUUUGUGCAUCUGCCGUUUGUCUUGGAACCAAGUUUAUACAAGUCCUUUGAUGACAAAUUCCACAGCUCUUUGAGGAGGGGCUCUGGCCCUGCUGCAGUUGCAAGCUGUCCCAGGCUCUGGUCUUUGGCUCUGUCAGGGGAAGCAGAUUGCUGACUACCUCCCAGCUGCUUCUUGCCACUUGCAAUUUGUGCUUUCUACAGAAAUCACUCUGUUCUGAACAAGCCAGUCACCUCGCUGUUGUGAGAAGUUUGUGUGUCUGCUGAAUAUUUUAUUUACCAUCUGGCUGGCAGCAAAGCCUAGAAUACGCCUGUGGGGCUGUAAUGUCCCAGACCAUUGAAUACCCAUCCUAAAAAGGUCACUACUUCUUUUUUGCCCUCAGGCACCAGUCUUCCUCACAGAAGGCCUUUACUAGUUUGAGACUGUGAGAAUGAGGGAUUUGGGUGAAAAGCAGUGAACACAGUUUUUGUUUUUUGCGGGGGGCAUUAAGGUGGCCACCAUGCAUUUCUCCACCAAGCUUCUUGUCUCCCUACCUUCCUGCAGCCUACACAGGGGCUUGCAUGGAAGCACUUUUCGCACAGGGAAUCUGUGACUCUCUGACUGCUGUCAAAGGAGCUCUAGAUGUGAUGUCCCUCUGCUCUGCUCUAUCAACCAGAUCCUUACCUUUGAGAGGGGGAAUUAAGGAUAUUUUCUUUGUUCAAAGGACAACAUCCAAUUAGCGAUCGAAAGCUCUUCUCAGUCCAACAAUCUGUUUGCAGAUGUAAAUACUUCUAAACUGUCUCUCACUUUUGAGUAUUAAUCAGACAGCGACCCCUUCCUUGAAGACAGAUGUCCCAUAGCUGUUAGUUACUCAGCUGGGAGGUGGGAUGGAAAGAAUGCUAGAUUGGAGUCAGAGCCUUUUACAAUUUUUACUCUUUAAUGUUUGGCAUUUGAUGCAGUUCUCUCAUCUAUAAAGUGAGUAUAAUGGUAACUUACCUGUGGAGCUCUUGUGAAAAUCAAGACAAGACAUAUGUGGAUAGUGCUUCAUGGAUUGAUCAGUGCUCGUAUACCCGACCUGCCCUAGUGAUCUGGGUGGUCAGAUGAGGCAUGUGACUAUUUUGUGUAGUUCCACUCAUUUCUACUCAUGUAAAUUGUAUGGAAAAGUGAUACUCAUCCUUUCACAUAGAAAAAUUAAAAGUAUACAUUUAGUCCUUGGGUUGCAUAUGUAUACUAUAUAAUAUGCAUAGUUAUGAACAGGGAAUGAAAUAUCAUGAUUUGUUAUUUAAAUAAACGUGGUAAGUAACAUCAAAACUAACAUCUAUGGGAUACUUACCACAGCUGAGUGCCAAGCUUCACAAAUAUUAUUUCAUUUAAUGCUUACAGUAACCACAUUAGAUACACUUUACAGAUGAGGAAAUUGAAAUGCAAGAACAUAAGUAACUUCCCCAUGUUCACAAGUAGUAAAUGGUAGAAUCAGAAUUCAAACCCAAGUCUGUUUGGUUACAUGUAUGUGAUAACUGUCCUCUAUUGCUUUCUUGGUCAACACAUUUCAUUUCCUACUGUGCACCCCUUUGAAGAACAGGAAGCCCAAACUUUCAUAAAAUCUCUCACUGCAUGUGUAAAAGCAGACAACUCUAUAAAAAUGCUAUGUAAAAGACACAAAAUAAAGAAACGGUUCUGAGUGAGUGAAAGAGUGGUGGUUGAUAACAUCCCUGCUCUCACUAUGUGGUGAAAGUGAUUAUAUACCUUAAUGACUUUUUAUUUUUCAAAAGGAAACAUCCUCAUAGGUAGCAUAAAGAGCUCAAGAAUCUUGUAUGUGCAUGUGUUUAUAUAAGCAUGUGUAUGUAUGUAUGUGUGCAUGCAUGCACACAUAUUUGUUCUAUUUGGUAAAAAUCUUUUCCACACUACUGCUGUCUUCCAUACAACCAUAAACCAUAAAGGAUGGCCAUUUUUCUAACAAGAAGAAUCAUCAUAUGAAUGCCAAGGGUGAAUUGUACUCAGUGUGAUGUGCUUAAAGCUCACAGCAUGUAGGGCUGAACUGGCCAUUUGUUGACUAGGUGUAGUUAUUCUUAUUCUACAGAUGUGGAUAUGGGCUUAGUAUAGUUUUGUUGCAAAACUAGCAUAGGUCACAAAACAGGUCUGUAACCAACACAAAGCAGACUUCAGCACAACCAGAUGAAUCCUUUUUACAAAUUAAAGAAUAAUUCUAAUUUUGCAAGUAUUACAUUAAGAACUAUUCAUCUUAAAAAUUCAGACAUUGCAGAUGAACCUGGUAAGAUGUUUGGAAGUUGGCUGCUACUGCUGAUCCUGGUUCUUUUCCAAAAGGAAGCCUGUAGUUUACAGUUUUGUAUGUAUCACUUCUCAGAUUUUAAUGUAUACAUGAAUCAUCUAGGGAUUUGGUUGAAAUGCAGAUUCUGACUCAGGAGAUGUGGAAUGGACCUGACCGUUUGCAUUUGGAAUAAACACCCAAGUGAUGCUGAUGCAGCUGGUCCAUGGACCACCCUUUGAGUAUAAGGUCAUAAGGUAACAUGUACUUUUAAUCUUAUUGUUAUUGCCAAGUUACAUUCCAGACUAACUGUGCCAAUUACAUUCCCACCAGCAGAAUAUGGGAGCACUUAUUUCCCAGUUGUUCUCCUUAAUACUUGAAAAUUAUUGUAUUAUACUUUUUGUCUGUUAGGUGAAGUAUAGUAUCUAUAUUUUUAAAAACAUAUUUCUAAUUCUCAACAAAUUUAAGCAUCCUUUCAUUUUUGUUAGACAAUUAAAUUUUCUAUUUACUUAAUUGUCUACUUAUAUUCUUGAUCUAUUUAGACAGUUUUACAUCUGUAUUUUAUUGGAUUAUAUGAAUUCUUUAUAUAUUCUGGAUCCUUUGGCCUGUUAAAUAUCUUGCAAAUAUUUCCCUCCAGGGAAGAAAGUGCUACUCAGAAGAGCUGUCCAGAAACUGGAUGGCAAGGGAGUGUUCAGAAGAUAGACAAUCACAUGUUGGAGAGGAAUGUGGGGCCUCUGCCAACUGCUUACACCUUUCUCUUUUAUAUUAAUAUAUCAAGUGGGUGCUUAUCCCACUGUAUUACAGUUACUACAGUUGUUUACAUGUUGGCUUCCUCCAUAAAAGGGGUGUAGGGCUAGGGUAUGGACUGUGAAUCAUUUCUGAAUCACCAGUACCCAGCAUUGGGUCUAGCACAGAGAAGACUCAACUGAAAAGCCAUGUAGUAGAAGACUCAGUGGACAGAGUUAGGUCUAGUUGUAGGAUUGCUGUCAGGCUGUGCUCUGAAGUUCAAAUAGGAGCUGCUUUGGGUCUAGAAUAAGAUGAAAGAAGAGGAACAAGAGGACCCUUUGCCCUAAGGUAGGAGAAAGCUCCCUCUGGGUUGCUUGUUUUUCCUGCUGUAAUUUGCUUUUUAGAUACUUAGGUGCUCAGAGAAAGUAAUAGUAACAAUAGUUAAUACUACUUUACAAAAUAUAGUACCUUUAAUGUGCUUUAUAUAAUUAAUUUAUCUAAUUCUCAUAGAAUCCCCAUGAGAUUAUCACUAUUAUUCUCAUUCUACAGAUGAAGAAACUGAGGCCCAGAGCAGUUAAAUAACUUGCCCAAGAUCAUGCAGCUAGUAAAUGGCCAAAGCAGGAUAUGAACCCAGCUGUCUGGCUCUCUAGUCUGUGCUCAAUAAACAACAUAUGAAAAUACUAGACUGGGCACAAAAUAAGUACCAGUCAAGCAUUCAUUUACUACCUGUCUCCCAGAAGCAUGCCUUUUCAAUCAAAGACAUCUCAGGCCUGUAGCCUGGCAGAAUCCAGUCUUAGACCUCCAUUGCCCUGGUGUCCACACCCUGCAUCCGUCCUUGCUGGAAGCACACCCAUGCCUGUUCUCGUGAGAACCUGGAAAGCCAUUUCCUAUGCAGCCAGCCCAGGGAUUGAAGUGCUCUUCUAGACCUGUUUUUCUCCUUUAUCUUCCAAGUCCUAACUGGCACCUCUGGCCCCAAGGCUUUGUACAGUGCUGCCAUCUGGUGGGGAUAGAUGGCCACUGAUGAGCCUCACCACAGAGUGGACAGGGUCCACUGCCACUGGCCAACUUUGGUUCACUGCUCCUCUUUAACCCUCAGGUCGGGCACCCACAGACUGUAACUGAUUGGUGGCUCAGUUCCAUUAAUGACUGGCUUUUCCCAACUCUGGUGUCACAGAUAUUUUUAAAGAAGGCUUAGGUGUUGGUGGGAUGAUACGUGGGUAACAAGUCCCAUUUAGCCUGCCCUCAAAUCACAUCAGGAGGACAGCUUCCUCCUCAAUGUGCUAAAAUCUAAAAGCUGUACCAGGGAGACUCCAUCAAGGGUUUCUAGUCUCCUUUGUAUUUUCGUUAAGGUGGCAGGAGUAGAAGGAGAUCCCAGCUUCAUAUUCUCAGAGUGAGUUUAAAGAACUAUUUUGUAUUAGAGUCUCUGCCCACACCCGUUAUCCGAUUAACUCUUCAGUUCUGAUAAACAUCACAAAGUCUGAUAAUGACCCCCAAGGAAGCAUUUAUUUAAAGGGAAGGUGAGGAAACACUUAGGGGUUCAAUAAAUGACCUAACUUUAGAAUCAGAAAUGUCUUCAUACUUCAAGGAUGAUCAUUAAUAGAUUUUUCAGGCUCAGAAAAGAGGCCCAUAUUAAGACUACGAAAGUCAGAUUGUACUACAUGUGUGGAGUAAACUGGACAGUGUCCAGGGUAACUGGUCAUUCAGAUAAAACCUCAGGACUCAAUAAUUACUUGUUGAAUAGAAUGAAAGAUAAGAAUCUCUAUCCCUAAAUUGUUUAUAAAGAAACUUGUGGGGGGCCAACUCCUUUUUGACCUUGUGACUUGGCAAAAUCUUUGUGGGUAAAAUCCUUGUGGCUCACUCCCACUUCCCUUGUUUAUGACCAAGAGGCUGGGAGUUGACUUAGUUACUUUCUCCUUGCUGAGACACAAUACCUGACAUCCACAACUGUAAAGAGGCUCACAGUUUGUAGUUGGCUGGCUACAAGGCAGGGUGGCAUGGCAGAGGAGAAACAGCUCAUAGUAUGGCAGAAGGAAGCAGAGAGAGCCAAAGGAGGAGGGAGGGAGAUAGGCCCUUCCAGGCCACACCCCCAGGGACGCACCUUCUCUAACCAGGGUUCACCUCCCAAAUGACAUUUAUCUAUAAACUAAUCGGUGGAAUAAUUCACUGAAGAGUUUCACACCCCCAUGAUCCAAUCACCUCCCCAAAGCCCCACCUACGAGUCCAUAAGGCUUUGGGGGGACAUCUAGAUAAAACCAUAAUAGGGGUCAUGAGUAGAAAGCAUCCUGGGACAACCAGUGCCUGGGGCAAACCAUCAUUCCAUGUAGGAUAGCCUAUCAACCUAUGCACAUCAGUGCACUACCGAUGGGGAAGACAGACAUCAUGAACUGAAAGUGAACAUGCUGGAGCCCAGCUAGCUAAGAUGAGAGGAGCCCCUUGCUGCCUAUAGCUUUAGCUCCUGUUAGCUUCCAUUAGGGGAGAGAGAACUGAUAUUGGUCAGUAGGGAAACCAAGUAUUACUGAAUAGCAGGAUGGAGUUCAUGGAGCUAUGCCCUGGCCAGGGAAAGGAGGGACCAGAGUUUGGAAAGAAACAGAAAAGCUUGCACAUCUACAAUGUGUCCAGCAUUAAACCCAUUCUCUCCUUCAAUCUCCAAAACCAGACCUUCAGAGUGGGCACUGUUUACAUUUGAUACUUGGGCAAAGUUGAGCUCCAUUGAUGUUUUGAAGCUCAUGCCAACUCACAUAACUAAUAAAUGAUGGUCCAAGGAUUAGAAUUUGGAAUCUGGCUAGCCCUCCAGUGAAGAGUCUUUGACUUUGUCAACUCAACCAAUCCCAUGACUUUCUGGAGAGGAGAGGCCGCUUCACAUUCCUUUUUAUAUUUUUGUUGUACUAAUGCUCUCCAGAGUCACAUUAUCUGAGAGAUCAGCAGGUAUAAACUGUCAGGUCAUACAUUCCACUUUGUUUCCUGCUUGAACCUUAUAUUUCUAACUUGGAAUUUUCUUUGUUUUCCCAUUAGGAAUGUAAAAAAACAAGUUUUUCUCCUCUGGCUAACCUGGUGGUGGUGUAGAAGGUCCUGGGAGACCUGGAAGAGCUGAAUUCCAGGGUUCUUUGGGAGAGGAUGCAAAAUGGAACGAAGUUAGAGGUGAAGAAAAAUCUUCUUGGAUCCCCAGCUGGUGACGAUGUUCAUAGCACCCUUUGGGUGUUUUUGUCCGUAAAAACACUGGUCAAGGUUCCCUUGGCCCAUCCUGACAUAAACUGUCCCUUCUUUGCUGUUGUACCCUCCCUUUUCUUAUAGUGCAGUUCUCUGAAUCCAGAGGUGUUCUUUGCAAGAGCCACAUCCUGCACGCUGCCAAGGCUGGCUGGAGUGCUAGCCCAGAAGCUGUGGCUCACCGAAAGCUGCCUCUCUUACUUUCUGGCCGGAAUAAUGCAACAUACAGAAGAGUGUGAAAAUUCAUAUUUUUUAAAGUCUUUGUUAAAAUUUUAAAGAAAUUCUGUUCAGGUGCUGAGAAGCGGUUGGUUGCUCAGUAGAAGGGAAAAGAGGAAUAAACGUUUGCCCCAGAAGCAACCCGGUGGUGCCCCUCUGCUAUCAGUCACCCCUCCAGCCAGCCCCAUGGCCUUCCCACAGCAACAACACACAAGGCCUGCGGGGACUGUACAGUUCACCGAGAGCUUCAUUUUCCCCAGGCGUUUCUCCGCAGCGUUUCCCUGUGCAGGGAGAAGAACUUGGUCCCACUUGAAUGACAACUGGGGUUGCAGAACACGACUUACUUAGUCCCGGGAACUGCAUAAACUGAAAGGACAACCUGGACAGGGCCACAGGUUGCCAGCAGAGGCGUCUAACAGGCCACCAAUGGUGUAUUUGGAUAUUCCCGGGACCAGGUGUCCGGCACAAAGAGGACAGCCGGCAGGGUGGAGGCCGAAGUGAGGCCAUAGGUAGGCCAAGGACGGAGCGGAUGUCCACAGGGCCUCACUGCUGGUGGUCGCUCUGCGUCCAGCAGCGGGAAAAGGUGGAGGAGUCAGUCUUCUGGCGGAACCAGCGAGAAAAGCCCUGUGGCCAGGGCAGGUGAGGCUAGCUGAGGCUCUGGUCCGUCCAAAGCCAGAGAUUCCUGCUUGAGAGCGAGC
rnacentral:lncRNA from 1 species